AGGGCACCACCAGGAGUGGAGCCUGCGGCUUAAUUUGACUCAACACGGGAAAUCUCACCAGGCCCGGACACCGGAAGGAUUGACAGAUUGAGAGCUCUUUCUUGAUUCGGUGGGUGGUGGUGCAUGGCCGUUCUUAGUUGGUGGGGCGAUUUGUCUGGUUAAUUCCGAUAACGAACGAGACUCUGGCCUACUAACUAGACGUUGGAUCCCUUUGUGGGUCCAUCGCAGCUUCUUAGAGGGACGGGCGGCGUUUAGCCGCACGAGAUUGAGCAAUAACAGGUCUGUGAUGCCCUUAGAUGUUCUGGGCUGCACGCGCGCUACACUGAAGGAAUCAGCGUGUGUUCCCUAUCCGAAAGGAUUGGGAAACCCGUUGAACCUCCUUCGUGAUGGGGAUUGGGGAUUGCAAUUAUUCCCCAUGAACGAGGAAUUCCCAGUAGGCGCGAGCCAUAAGCUUGCGUCGAUUACGUCCCUGCCCUUUGUACACACCGCCCGCCGCUACUACCGAUCGAGUGAUUUAGU
rnacentral:rRNA from 1 species